rnacentral:lncRNA from 1 species
GCUGUAACGGCCGCUGCCUCAGCAGCCCGCGGGCGCUGCCGCCUUUCCCUCACCUGAGGAGAAGGGCGGUGGCCGCCACCCUCAGCCUGCCCCAGGGGCAGCCUCUAACUGGGGACUGGAAAGCUGUGCCUGAAGCAGCUGGUGUAAAGUCUUAAAAAGUGUGCGGACACAGCUCUGAGCGCUCACGUUGCAAGCAGGGAAAAGCAGUGUCGUGGUGUGUGUCUUGUGUUUGUAAGGCACCUGCUUUUGGCUCGCGCUGGAGACAGGUUAUAUCACAUCGGAACACUGUCGUCAACUUUCACAGCUUCAGUUACUAGUUUCUCAAUAGUGAGGCAGUGAUGUCCCUAUUGAAUUCUGUUGGUACAUUUGUGGCCACCAUUGCUCCUGGGCAGUGUACCAGAGCCACAGAAGGCAGCCUGCAGCAAGAGGCACCCUCUAGAGCAGGCCGUACGGUGCCACAGUUGGCUUCUGCCGUGAAGGAGUUCUCCCUCCACCUUUUUCCUAAAGGGAUAGACCCUGGGAGGAAGAAACAAGAGGCAGAAAAAUUGUAGGAUACUGAGCACUUAAAGCAGCAUAGUGUUCAAACGAGUGCAUCCCUAUCCUUGGGCACUGAGGAGGAAUCAUAACCAACUUCUUGUGCUGAAAAAGAAAGUCCCUGUGUUUUUUCUUGAUGCCUACUUUCUCAUGCCUACCUUCAUUAUGAUCUUUCUCUACAAGGAGUAGAAUCUAGCCCUAACUGCUCUAAAUUUUUAUGGGAUGUUUAAUAAACUGCUCCUGGUUUCAGUCUCUUUCCCCCA